rnacentral:hammerhead_ribozyme from 1 species
CGCCGAAACCGGGGCCACUGGUCCCGGUUGUCCCGGUGUGUUGGCCGGGGCCUGACGAUGGCAGACACCA